GACGAACGCUGGCGGCGUGCUUAACACAUGCAAGUCGAACGGAAAGGCCCUGCUUGUGUGGGGUGCUCGAGUGGCGAACGGGUGAGUAACACGUGAGUAACCUGCCCUUGACUUUGGGAUAACUUCAGGAAACUGGGGCUAAUACCGGAUAGGAGCGCCUGCUGCAUGGUGGGGGUUGGAAAGUUUCGGCGGUUGGGGAUGGACUCGCGGCUUAUCAGCUGGUGGGGGGGGUAGUGGCUUACCAAGGCUUUGACGGGUAGCCGGCCUGAGAGGGUGACCGGCCACAUUGGGACUGAGAUACGGCCAAGACUCCUACGGGAGGCAGCAGUGGGGAAUAUUGCACAAUGGGCGGAAGCUUGAUGCAGAAACGCGGCUUGCGGGAUGACGGCCUCCGGGUGUUAAACCGCUUUCGCCUGUGACGAAGCGUGAGUGACGGUAACGGGUAAAGAAGCACCGGCUAACUACGUG
rnacentral:rRNA from 1 species